UACGAAGGGGGCGAGCGUUGUUCGGAUUUACUGGGCGUAAAGGGCGCGCAGGCGGCUCAUUUUGUCAGGCGUGAAAGCCCCGGGCUUAACCUGGGAACUGCGUUUGAUACGGAUGGGCUAGAGUUCGGGAGAGGAGAGUGGAAUUCCCCAGUGUAGAGGUGAAAUUCGUAGAUAUUGGGAAGAACACCGGUGGCGAAGGCGGCUCUCUGGACCGAGACUGACGCUGAGACGCGAAAGCGUGGGGAGCGA
rnacentral:rRNA from 1 species